rnacentral:rRNA from 1 species
AGUGAACGCUGGCGGUAGGUCUAACACAUGCAAGUCGAACGGCAGCACAGUAAGAGCUUGCUCUUACGGGUGGCGAGUGGCGGACGGGUGAGGAAUACAUCGGAAUCUACUUUUUCGUGGGGGAUAACGUAGGGAAACUUACGCUAAUACCGCAUACGACCUACGGGUGAAAGCAGGGGAUCUUCGGACCUUGCGCGAUUGAAUGAGCCGAUGUCGGAUUAGCUAGUUGGCGGGGUAAAGGCCCACCAAGGCGACGAUCCGCAGCUGGUCUGAGAGGAUGAUCAGCCACACUGGAACUGAGACACGGUCCAGACUCCUACGGGAGGCAGCAGUGGGGAAUAUUGGACAAUGGGCGCAAGCCUGAUCCAGCCAUACCGCGUGGGUGAAGAAGGCCUUCGGGUUGUAAAGCCCUUUUGUUGGGAAAGAAAAGCAGCAGGUUAAUACCCCGCUGUUCUGACGGUACCCAAAGAAUAAGCACCGGCUAACUUCGUG